rnacentral:tRNA from 1 species
AGCUGAGUGGCGCAGCGGAAGCGCGCCGGGCUCAUAACCCGGAGGGCAAUGGAUCGUAAGUUGGAUGCCAAAAACGUCAAAUUCUCACCCC